UACAGGGGGGGCAAGCGUUGUUCGGAAUUACUGGGCGUAAAGGGUCUGUAGGUGGCCAACUAAGUCAGACGUGAAAUCCCUCAGCUUAACUGGGGAACUGCGUCUGAUACUGGAUGGCUUGAGUGUGGGAGAGGAAUGCGGAAUUCCUGGUGUAGCGGUGGAAUGCGCAGAUAUCAGGAGGAACACCGGUGGCGAAGGCGGGUCUCUGGGCAGUAACUGACGCUGAGGAGCGAAAGCGUGGGGAGCGAACAGG
rnacentral:rRNA from 1 species